CCUACGGGGGGCAGCAGUGGGGAAUAUUGCACAAUGGGGGGAACCCUGAUGCAGCAAUGCCGCGUGGGUGAAGAAGUACUCCGGUAUGUAAAGCCCUGUCAGCAGGGAAGAAAAUGACGGUACCUGACUAAGAAGCUCCGGCUAACUACGUGCCAGCAGCCGCGGUAAUACGGAGGAUGCGAGCGUUAUCCGGAUUUAUUGGGUUUAAAGGGUGCGCAGGCGGCACGGCAAGCCGGCGGUCAAAUCGCGGGGCUCAACCCCGCCCAGCCGUCGGAACUGCCGGGCUAGAGUGGGCGAGAAGGGCG
rnacentral:rRNA from 1 species